rnacentral:rRNA from 1 species
AGAGUUUGAUCAUGGCUCAGGACGAACGCUGGCGGCGUGCUUAACACAUGCAAGUCGAACGGUGAACCUGCCUCGGUGGGGGAUCAGUGGCGAACGGGUGAGUAACACGUGGGCAACCUGCCCUCAGCUCUGGGAUAACUCCAAGAAAUUGGGGCUAAUACUGGAUAUGACUGCUGACCGCAUGGUCUGGUGGUGGAAAGAUUUAUCGGCUGGGGAUGGGCCCGCGGCCUAUCAGCUUGUUGGUGGGGUAGUGGCCUACCAAGGCGACGACGGGUAGCCGGCCUGAGAGGGUGACCGGCCACACUGGGACUGAGACACGGCCCAGACUCCUACGGGAGGCAGCAGUGGGGAAUAUUGCGCAAUGGGCGGAAGCCUGACGCAGCGACGCCGCGUGGGGGAUGACGGCCUUCGGGUUGUAAACCUCUUUCACCCAUGACGAAGCGAAAGUGACGGUAGUGGGAGAAGAAGCACCGGCCAACUACGUGCCAGCCGCCGCGGUAAUAC